AGACAAAAUUGGGUUUCCCAAACUAUUUCAGAAGCGGCCAAAGUAAUUCCAAUAAAUGAGUAACUCAUGGCAGAGGGGUUUCUGACGGCGAGGAUGCUUUCAUGGUGGAAAAUAUGGCUUCACGUGGUCCAUUUGAUGGAUUCGAAGUGAAGCAGCUGUAAACUCCACAGCACACGAUGUCAGUCCGAACCAUCAGACAGCGGCAGGUUUUUCUCUGCUUCUGCGAGCAUCAAACACUAAAUCUUCAACGGUUUCAUAUGAAUUUCCCAAAGCAGAUAUAUGGAUCUGUGGGCAAGCAGCCUGUCUCAGGAGUGUGUUUGAUGAUGGCAUUUUAUUGUUCCAGAAGGUCAAGAUCUUCAAAGCUCUCCUUCUGUUCUCCGCAGGGCACUCGGGCUGCAGCUGUCAGCAUACACUCGGCUUUGUGUUUUUCUAUGAGAGAAGAGAGCGGGAAGCGUGUGAAUCCUGUCGGAUGGGACGUCACCACCGCCGUGUCUGACGCUGAUCAAAUAGCCUUUUUGGCACGAUUCAGCACUGUGCCCGCACUCUGCAUUUACACACAUGCGGGCUCUUUGAAGUUGUUGCCCGGGUGCUGUUGGACAAAAGAGCCCCCAUCAGCUGGACUUAAGGAUGGAAUGGCAGGGGGGUUACGAAARGGGAUUGGUGAAUAAAGAAUCAAAGUAACUGGGAUGGGGGGCCUGCUGGCGGAGUACUCGAUGUGAGACUGUGAACCAUGUACCCCUCACAGUCCCAGUCCCAAAGGCCUGGAGUUCACAGGUGUCAUUGCAUUUUUUUUCUUGCGCUACAUCACGYCUUUCUGUAGCCAUGCUAGUUCAUGUUGUUUGUUUUUGUCCCUUACAAAGAAAAACUCAUAUUUUAAGUCUUGCAUUCAGGGUGAUGUGAAAGACCACCAGCUGUUUGCUGGGCUGAGAGCAACUGUCUGUGCCAUGCACCUUACACUGUGGCUUUGCAACCUUUCUUGUGUCUGCUUGGACUUUCACAGCAAGGGCUACUGAUGCCACAGCAGCCCUUCUCGCUCCCAUAGCUGCAAAGUGACCGUUUGUAUUCCCUCAACCCAUCAAAUCCCCGCAGGACCACUCAGGUUCACUAGAGGUAAAAUUUGUGCAGCCGCCUUUGGUGGUGCCGACACAGCAGACCCAUUUUUUUUCACCCAGGGCCUCAUUAAAGCUGAAAACAUCCCCUUCAGUCUGAAUCUUAUUGUUCAGUGGGCUCAGCGCUUAAUUGUAAUUAAAGACAACAAUGUGCAGCUAAUGUCUUUCAGGAUCAACAAAGGCUUUUUGAAAAUUUUGAAAGUUGUAUUUUUAUGCAAACAAAAACAGAUGGGUGAACCUUUUUGAUAAAACUUUUUCAAAAUAUUUUAAAGGACAAAACUAAGACAUUUUGUAACUAAUAAACUGAGUUUCAGAUACAAUCAUUUUUUUCGGUUGUAAUAAUUUACUUCAACCAAAAAAAAAAAACAUUCAUCUAAGAACUUAAUCUGUUUUCUGCACAUUAUGGGAUUCCAGUUUCAACAGUUAUUUACAAAACAACACAAAAACUAUCUAACAGAAUGAAAAGCAUCAAUUAAAGUGUCCAUUGAAACUUAAAAGUUGUGUUUCUGUUGGCUGCUCCCUUCUGCAGGGUCAUCAAACUUAAAAAAAUUGGUAAAUCUAUUAUAACAGAUGCGCAUCCAGAUGCAACCUAGGACUGAACCUGGUUUCAGGAUUUCAAGUUCAUGGCACUGACCUUGGAGCUACAGAAGUUCCUACAGUUUUCCAUAAAGUGUUAUUUUUCAAUAAAUUUUCCAUUUCAUUGUUUACUGUUACAAUAUACAGGUUUUCAAGCAUCAUGUUUGGAGCACUCUAAAUCCCAUAAAAAAUCCGAUUUGAUAUUUUCACCUGUUUGAUCUCAACAAUUCCAUCUAGAGCAUUUUCAUGGCAUGCAAAGUGGAAAACUCAGGUAAUGGAGUUAGUCUGAUCACAGCGAUUUUGGUUCCCAGGUUGUUUUCCACUGUAAUUAGCAGAUCAAAGCGUAAUGUUCUGGGUCACUUGUUCAACUCGCCCCACGUAUAUACAGUCAUCAGCGUGUUUAGAUCCCAGAACCGCGAGGUUUGCUCGUCUAUGGAUUCAGCAUACAUCUUCACUUUUUAUUUGUUUGCUUGUGCGCAGUCACGAAACAAGCAGAGGGUGAAGAGCAUGGGCUCCACAUGCUAGAAGGGCCAUGGCUCUGUAAGCCACCUGGGCUGGUGAAAAAAAAAAAAAAAACUCCCCACUGGAAAUAGUCAUAGCACAGAUGAAUGAAAAGUGUGUAAACAGUCUGYGAACCAUCACUGUGAGCGAGGUGGAAGGAUGCAACCUUAACAUCUGUCCUACAAGCUCCACUUAAGAGCAAUUAGGCCUCAUUCAUGGGCUGUGCAGUAAACAGAUCCACAGCUUAUCUUCUUGCGGUCAGUUUUGCUGCAGCUGGUUUUGGACGACAACAGAAGGUUUCAAAUGCUCUGGCUGCUGGAGAAGAUUUCGGUGUAGAUGGAUACAACUCUGAGAAAGAUGUCUGGGAUGUUUUAUUGUUGGUAUUUGAGUCAGUAGAAGGUGCAGAAAUUGAAGAAAGUUCACAAAGAUCUCACCCAAAACUUCAAAGACAUUAWAAAAUAAUAAAAGGAAGUCGSUCAAUCAAA